CAGUAGCCGCGGUAAUACGAGGGGGGCAAGCGUUGUUCGGAAUUAUUGGGCGUAAAGGGCGCGUAGGCGGUUUGGCAAGUUUGGUGUGAAAUCUUCGGGCUCGACUCGAAGUCUGCACCGAAAACUGCCGGGCUUGAGUAUGGGAGAGGUGAGUGGAAUUUCCGGUGUAGCGGUGAAAUGCGUAGAUAUCGGAAGGAACACCUGUGGCGAAAGCGGCUCACUGGACCAUUACUGACGCUGAGGCGCGAAAGCUAGGGGAGCAAACAGGAUUAGAGACCCGCGUAGUCCCUGUCUCUUAUAA
rnacentral:rRNA from 1 species